UUUUGGACAAUGGGCGCAAGCCUGAUCCAGCCAUUCCGCGUGAGUGAAGAAGGCCUUCGGGUUGUAAAGCUCUUUCGCAAGGGAAGAAAACUUACUUUCUAAUAAAGAGUGAGGUUGACGGUACCUUGAUAAGAAGCACCGGCUAACUACGUGCCAGCAGCCGCGGUAAUACGUAGGGUGCGAGCGUUAAUCGGAAUUACUGGGCGUAAAGCGUGCGCAGGCGGCUUUGUAAGUCAGAUGUGAAAUCCCCGAGCUCAACUUGGGAACCGCGUUUGGAACUACAAGGCUAGAAUAUGUCAGAGGGGGGUAGAAUUCCACGUGUAGCAGUGAAAUGCGUAGAGAUGUGGAGGAAUACCAAUGGCGAAGGCAGCCCCCUGGAUAAUAUUGACGCUCAUGCACGAA
rnacentral:rRNA from 1 species